GGUAUUGUUUACCCCAUUUGAAAGGCCCCGGAACCCUUCAAAUAACCAGUGGACCGGAACAUCCACUACUUGUAAACAUAAG
rfam:Streptococcus sp. 'caviae' strain Cavy grass 6 NODE_9_length_110856_cov_246.295, whole genome shotgun sequence.